UCCAACACAUUUUUUUUUACUAGAAUAAAAAAGAAAGAAAAUUAGAAAUAAUAAUAAUCUACUAAAUGAAACAAACAUAGAUCGUCUUCUCCCUAACCCAAAACCUAAAACUAGCGAUCCUCCCAAAAUGUACUUCCUUUUCAGAGGGGUCAGUUGGGAUCACGAAAACAAACAAAAUUGUGUUUUUCGUUUCAGAAGGGACGUGCGACGGUGCCGUUCAGGGAGGUCUCGGUGGUGCCAUUUAGGGAAGUCGCGGCGGUACCAACUAUGAAGGUGAGUUUUUUCUUUUUUCUAUUUUUGUUCUCUGAUGGAAAAAAGGUUUGGGUUUUUUAUUUUAUUUUAUUUUGUAUCUUCUAAUUAUUUUAUAAUUGCGAGGUUGAAUAAAACAAAACGACAACAAAAAUAAAUAAAGUAAAGAUAAAACAAAUUUAGAUUUUAUUUUUAAAGGUAUAACAAUAAGAACUAUUUUAUUUUUUAUUUUUAAAGGUAUAACAUCAAGAACUAUGAAAUCAUGAAACUAGGAAAAAUGGAAUUUAGAGAUACUUACCACACACAAGUUAGACAUUUGUUUCAUUGUUGUGAUCUUUGCUAUGACAAAUAUUUAUUUAUGUUUUGAAUUAGUGUAUUCUUCUAGCCCUCAUCUCAUAUUUCAGAAUACUCAUUAUUUUUUAGAAAGAAAAACAAAUAUCUUUUACUCAUCUAAACAAUGGAAUCCUCAUCUUUUUGAAAAACAAAACUCUAUUUAUAGAGUUUUUUUUUAAUUGUUAGUUGCUUUCUUUGUAUGUGUCUCUCUUUGAGCUUUCAAUUAGUUCUCUAUUUGAUGCUUCAUUUUUUUUCUCAUAAUUUGAGUUCUUCUGCACAUAUGACCCAUUCACAAUUUUAGCCUAUUUAUUUUUAUCUGAUUAUCUUCAUCUGUUGGACAGAGCUGGUUUGUUGGCCUAAAUAGUUUUUUAAUUUGCAACUUUGGGUCUUAAUUUUGUAUAUGGAUUCAACAACAAUUAUCUUUUAGUUUGUGUUUCAAACUCAUAAUUUUGUCUCUUUGCUCUGUAUCACGUGGACAACGGUUAAGGGCAAAGGGAAUGACUAAGGACAAAAGGAAUUUUUUUUUCAUUAAUUAAUUCAUUACAUAUCAUUUUUUACCAUAUUUUAUAUUAAAUCUUUAGUUAUAAAAUUAUCAUUUUUUCAAUUAGUUUAAACACUCUAAUUAGUUACAACAAGUACAUGAAUAGUUACAAUAGAUACAUAAAAGGAGAAACCAAAGACAAAACAAAGUCAAAGACUCUCUUUUAUUUCUAUUUUAUAUAUUUGUUUUUUGUAUUAUGAAUAUAUAUAUAUAUAUAUAUACAUAUUAAAAUUUCAUAAAUAAAUAAAAUAAUGACAUAAUAAAAUUGAUAUAUUAUUAGUAUAAUUUAUUAGGAUAGACAAAAUUGGAGUACUACAAACUUCAAUCAUCAUUGUUGUUGUUUAUUUGUUGAUUCAUGAUUUUAUUAAGAACUAUGUUGUUGCUAAUAAUAUAUGUUGAUUUAGGUGUAAAAUGAUUAUGUGUUGUAUUGUUACUGAACAAAGAAAGAAGCAAUGCAAGGAGAUCAUGAAAUUCAGUACGUAAGGUUGAAAAUUGAACGUGGAUUAAAGAAGAAUAUCUUGCACUUGUAUCAGUAUCGAUAAUAGUACGUACCCAAACCUAGGAGUGUUCGCGGGUUGAGUUGAGGCGGUUUUGACAAAAUCUAAUAUCCGGCCUGAUCGAUUAUCUUUGGGUUGGAUAAAGUUAUAAACACGUAUUUUUUUCAUUUAACCCG
rnacentral:lncRNA from 1 species